AAGGUCCAGUCAUUCCAGCCGGUCCUGGUGGCCCUGGUGGUCCUCCUGGUGGUCCUCCCGGUGGCCCUCCUGGUGGUCCUCCUGGUGGUCCUCCCGGUGGCCCUCCUGGUGGCCCUGAUAGACCUCAUGGUGCCCUUCCAGCACCAUCUGGUAAUGUCCAUCCAGUUGCCAACAACAAUGUAACAGGACUUCCCCCACAUGUUUCUCUUGGCACCAGACCACCACCACCACCACCACCACCAAAUAAUGGAAACCCCCCUCCCAAAGCUGGUAAUCCUCCACCUCAUCCAGACAAACCUGAAGUCAAUGUUGCCCAACCAGCAAAAGGAAACCUGGAAGCUACUGGCAAGCCACCAGUUAAUGGUGCACUGCAAACUAAACCCAUAAAGUCUCUCACAGAGAUAAACAGGCCCAAAAGACAUGCUCCUGGUAAGAAUGGUUCUGAAAGUCAUCCCACAAGAGCAUCACAUCUAGAAGACCAUACUCAUGAGAGUAACGCAAGCCAUCCUCCAAAACCAUCCCACCCAGCAAUAGGACAGAACCAAGGAAAGAAACAUUCUGGUAGAAAUUAAGACCAUGAAUGGAAGCCGUCAUGAAAAUGGUGUUGUGUAGCUCCAGCAAUAACCCUGCAGUAAACUGAUAGAAG